rnacentral:lncRNA from 1 species
GAAUUCAUAAACACAGAAUCAAAGAACAUGUUGAAAGAUAGACAUACAUUAUCAAUGAAAUAUGGACAGAAAAAAAAAUGAAAAGACAAAUAGCUGAGUCAGCAAAACACUUUAUAGAAAACAAAAUUUCUUUUUCAUGAUUGAAAAAUAUUUUUGAUGCCUGAAUUGUUAUUUGGAAUAAGGAUGUGAACUUAAAGAGAC